GGGUCGGAUCUGCCUGGAGCUGGAGUUACAGGUGUCUGUGAGCCUCCUGAUGUGAGUGCCGGGACUUGAACUCUGGUGCUUUGGAAGAGCAGCGCGUGCUCUUAAUCGCCGAGCCAUCCCCAGCCCAGCUUCACACUCUUGAGAUUGAUUUUUGAAGGAAGUUUGUAUUACUCUCUUGAGAUCUUGUCGAAAGACUCAUUGGAAGCAAACGAAGAGUAAAUUUUAGAUUCCGUGCUGAAACACACUCUCCCCGCGACCAAUAUUUGAAUUCUUCCUUCUUGGGAGCUGAAAGUGCCGAUAGCAUUGGUGCUGUGUUAAAUAGCAAAGAUGAGCAGAGGGAAAUUGCUGAAACACGAGAAAAUUGCAGGGCUUCCUAUGAUACAGCUGCUCCAAAUUCAAAACGGAAGUGCCUGGAUGAAGGAG